rnacentral:rRNA from 1 species
AUACGGAGGGUGCAAGCGUUAAUCGGAAUUACUGGGCGUAAAGCGUACGUAGGCGGUUCGUUAAGUUAGAUGUGAAAGCCCCGGGCUUAACCUGGGAACUGCAUUUAAAACUGGCGAACUAGAGUUGAGUAGAGGGGAGUGGAAUUUCAGGUGUGGCGGUGAAAUGCGUAGAGAUCUGAAGGAACACCAGUGGCGAAGGCGACUCCCUGGACUCGAACUGACGCUGAGGUACGAAAGCGUGGGUAGCAAACGGGAUUAGAAACCCUUGUAGUCC